rnacentral:misc_RNA from 1 species
CUGAAAUAGCUCUAAUGUCGAUGUAGA